rnacentral:tRNA from 1 species
GCUCAGUGGUAGAGCUCCCGCUUCGUACGCGGGAAGACCUGGGUUCGAUUCCUGG